AAUAGAGUUCGGUAGGGGAGAUCGGAAUUCCUGGUGAAGCGGUGAAAUGCGCAGAUAUCAGGAGGAACACCGGUGGAGAAGGCGGAUCUAUGGGCAGAUACUGACGUUGAGGAGCGAAAGAGUGGGGAGCGAACAGGAUUAGAUACCUUGGUAGUCCACGCCGUAAACGGUGGGCACUAGGUGUGGGCAACAUUCCACGUUGUCCGUGCCGCAGCUAACGCAUUAAGUGCCCCGCCUGGGGAGUACGGCCGCAAGGCUAAAACUCAAAGGAAUUGACGGGGGCCCGCACAAGCGGCGGAGCAUGUGGCUCAAUUGGACGCAACGCGAAGAACCUUACCAAGGCUUGACAUACACCGGAAAGCAUCAGAGAUGGUGCCCCCCUUGUGGUCGGUGUACAGGUGGUGCACGGCUGUCGUCAGCUCGUGUCGUGAGAUGUUGGGUUAAGUCCCGCAACGAGCGCAACC
rnacentral:rRNA from 1 species